UAGUCCACGCCGUAAACGAUGUGCACUAAAUGGUGGGAGCUCUGACGCUCGCACGACUGAAGCAAAAGUGUUAAGUGCACCGCCUGGGGAGUACGGUCGCAAGAUUAAAACUCAAAGGAAUUGACGGGGGGCUCACACAAGCGGUGGAGCAUGUGGCUUAAUUCGAAGCAACGCGAAGAACCUUAUCCUGGGUUUGACAUGUACGGAUUAGCAGCUGGAAACAGUUGUGACACCCUUGCGGUGGAACGUACACAGGUGCUGCAUGGCUGUCGUCAGCUCGUGCUGUGAAGUGUCGGGUUAAGUCCCUUAACGAGCGAAACCCCUAUCGUUAGUUGCCAGCGAGUCAUGUCGGGGACUCUAACGAGACUGCCGGUGUCAAACCGGGAGGAAGGGUGGGGGAUGACGUCAAGUCCUCAU
rnacentral:rRNA from 1 species